CCAGAACUGAGACAGUAAAUGUCUGCUGCUUUAAGCUGCCACCGGUGCAACUGCCCCCAGGGACCACGAUGCAGCAGGACAAACUUCAGCAGAACACCGAUGUCUGGUAUCACCUGUCAACUAUGGAAGCCUUUCACAGGAGAUGGGCGUUUCAAGAAUGGGAGCCACAGGAAAACAGAAUCUUUCAGACAAAAGCCAAACAUGACACUCACUAGCAAAAGAAACUGCAUUUUUAAAAUCUUCUGUAAGAGAAGACAAUCUUGAAAGCAAUGUCUGGUUGAGGAUAAUUUGGUC
rnacentral:lncRNA from 1 species